GCAGUUCCAAGACCUCAGCAAUCUCUUUCCAAGUCCACAAGAGUGUUGCUUCUAUUUUAUUGCAUACUUCAAGCUUACUGCUUCCAAAGUCCCAAUCUUCAGAAUUAUCCAGACUCUGCAUUGGCCCUGAGAAGUCACUGGAAAUUUUAAAUAUCGAUUCCAAAUACACACUGGGGUUUAUAUUUCAUAAUUUAAGAGGCAAGAUUUUUCUCCUCAACUCAAUGGUAGGUGAUAUAACACUAGCAGUGUUAAGCAGCCAUGGUGAAUUUGUACGGCAGGCCCUGUUGUUCACUUCAGAGAAUAUUUAUCAACGACUGAUAGUAUUCACACACUGCGCCAUUUUUUUUUCUCCAAGAAUGAAUACUGCCAUCAGAAAUAUCUAACCUUGAUUGAUUACUGCUACUAAAGAGAAAUUUAAAACUAGACAUUGUCUUCAAGCACCUAAGUGGAAAGGAUUGAGCCUCUUAUGCCACACACAUGUCAUGAAGCUCUCCAUCCACACAGCUUCACCGCUUUCCAGAAGUAGCAAGUGUUUAUUGAAGGCUAACCUGAAUCUCGCCUCCUGGGCUCUAGAAGAUGAGGAUGCGUCUAUGAAUCAUCAAAGGGAUGUCUAUGUUAUUGGAAAGGCAUAUAAGCACAAACCUUUUGGAUUAUAUUUGUAUGCUAAAAUAUUAAGAAGCAAUAAUUCCCAUGAAGGAACCUUGAAGCAGGAAAGAUGUUGGAAAGUGAACAGAGCAAUUCUCGAGAUGCUCAGAGAAGCCACUGCAAGAAGAGGGCAUUUGUACAGAGAGGACAGAGUUCAGCCCAGGGAAAGCAUGCAUUCUUGCAAAGGGAACAGCCCAAACUAACACUAUCCAUUGAGCACAUGCUCAUCAAGAGGAAGGGAUGGAAGGUAAAGAAUGAAAGAGGGGAGCAGGCAGGGGACGUCAUAUUUAGAAGUGGGUAGGAAAAGGUCUUGUAGGGGUUCACAACACAGUAUUUGUCAUGCUAUUCCAACAACAAAGGAACCAACAGCGAGUUGACACAAAGUGAUUUGUACUCUCAAUAGCGUCUCAUAAUCUUCUCUGAGAUACACUAGAGUGGAGAUAACACAGUGGACAAUUCCAGGUUCAGGUCACUGCAGCAGUGCAGUGAGAGAUGAUCUGGGUUUGGAGGACGUGGGGAGGCCGGUAACCAGGAACAAGGCAGCAAAAAGACAUUUAAAUUGAAAAUACUGCCUCUAUUAUGUCCUCUUUAUAAUUUUAAUCACAUGCUUAUAUCUCAUGACAGGGAGAGAUGGAGACCUCAUAUAUGCAUUUAACAAACUGUUGCUAGUCAUCAAUAGGAGAAGAGCUACUGGUGUGUAUUGAGAUUAUGGGAUGAAAUAGUUUGUCAUCUAUGGGUCUCCUUGUAAAUUAAUGUAGCCUUUAGCUACUCUAACCUCAGCCUUGUCCUCUGAAUUCUCUGCCUAGUGAGCAUGUGUAGAGUCCCCUGGCUUCUCAUUCAGGACACCCAUGGUUGGUGCCUCUAUUCUCAUCUGGACUCUUAAGGAUGGAAGACAUUGAUUAGAAUAGAAUGCAGUCUUACAUGGAGCUUACACAGAGACCAUGGCCAAAGGUUCAGAUCUUCUCUUUCACAACUUCAAUGUAUCACUGUUAACAGAAAUGAGUAACCCUGCAGCCAUGGAAGAUACAAAAUUUCUUUCAUUCAUGUUUUGGCUAGGAUGACCUCAACUCCCUUUUCCUACUUUCUUUGGGUUUUAUGCUAAAACUCCAGCUAGUGUCCCCUAACACUAAGUUUCCCUGGAGUCUCUGGCUAUUGUUAUACAUGUAAAGACAUACCUCCUCUGAUGAUCCCCACCGCUCUUGUGGCCAGAGUUUGUACUGUGAGUUUAAUAUCUAGUUUCAAUGCUGUCCUUCUUUCUUUGUUCCAAACAGAAAGCAAAUCACUAACGGAAAUCAGACAUACUCUGCAAAUGUUGGUAGCUUUCCACAUUAAGAUGUUUAAAACCUGAAUAACAUUUUUGCAUUUCAGUAAAGUAAUAUUGUUGUCAAAUGGGUCCAUCAUCGGCUUCAACGCAUCCUUACAGCCCCAGCUAAAAUCCAUAGCAUGCAAAGGUGAUGGGAUAAGCAAAGCAUUGUUAAAGCUGCCAAUAACAGUGCCAUGCUAAUAUUCCUGAGGUUGGAACAUUUGUACUGCCAUGGGUAUCAAGCUGAAAAGAAAAUACCUUCAUGUGACUUUAAAACUGUUCAAAAAACAAUGACAAUAAAAAGACUAUGAAAAAUCUUGUGUUUUAUAUA
rnacentral:lncRNA from 1 species